CCUUGCAAGUCGAACGGUAACAGGACUAGCUUGCUAGUUGCUGACGAGUGGCGGACGGGUGAGUAACGCGUAGGAAUCUACCGAGUAGUGGGGGACAACAGUUGGAAACGACUGCUAAUACCGCAUAAUCCCUGAGGGGGAAAGGAGGGGAUCUGUUUACAGACCUUUCGCUAUUUGAUGAGCCUGCGUGAGAUUAGCUAGUUGGUGAGGUAAUGGCUCACCAAGGCGACGAUCUCUAGCUGGUCUGAGAGGAUGAUCAGCCACACUGGAACUGAGACACGGUCCAGACUCCUACGGGAGGCAGCAGUGGGGAAUAUUGCACAAUGGGGGAAACCCUGAUGCAGCCAUGCCGCGUGUGUGAAGAAGGCCUUCGGGUUGUAAAGCACUUUCAGCGAGGAGGAAAGGAGUACGUUUAAUAAACGUGCUCUGUGACGUUACUCGCAGAAAAGCACCGGCUAACUCCGUGCCAGCAGGCGCGGUAAC
rnacentral:rRNA from 1 species